AUUGAACACUGGCGGCAUGCCUUACACAUGCAAGUCGAACGGUAACAGGUUAAGCUGACGAGUGGCGAACGGGUGAGUAAUGCAUCGGAACGUGCCCGAUCGUGGGGGAUAACGCAGCGAAAGCUGCGCUAAUACCGCAUACGAUCUGAGGAUGAAAGCGGGGGACCGUAAGGCCUCGCGCGAUCGGAGCGGCCGAUGUCAGAUUAGGUAGUUGGUGGGGUAAAGGCCCACCAAGCCGACGAUCUGUAGCUGGUCUGAGAGGACGACCAGCCACACUGGGACUGAGACACGGCCCAGACUCCUACGGGAGGCAGCAGUGGGGAAUUUUGGACAAUGGGCGAAAGCCUGAUCCAGCAAUGCCGCGUGCAGGAAGAAGGCCUUCGGGUUGUAAACUGCCUUUGUACGGAGCGAAAAGGUCCUUUCUAAUACAAGGGGCUCAUGACGGUACCGUAAGAAUAAGCACCGGCUAACUACGUGCCAGCCGCCGCUGUAA
rnacentral:rRNA from 1 species